rnacentral:rRNA from 1 species
UACGGGAGGCAGCAGUGGGGAAUAUUGCACAAUGGGCGCAAGCCUGAUGCAGCCAUGCCGCGUGUAUGAAAAAGGCCUUCGGGUUGUAAAGUACUUUCAGUCGUGAGGAAGGUGUUAAGGUUAAUAACCUUAGCAAUUGACGUUAGCGACAGAAGAAGCACCGGCUAACUCCGUGCCAGCAGCCGCGGUAAUACGGAGAGGGCUAGCGUUAUUCGGAAUUAUUGGGCGUAAAGAGCGCGUAGGCUGAUUAGUAAGUUAAAAGUGAAAUCCCAAAGCUUAACUUUGGAAUUGCUUUUUAAAACUGCUAGUCUAGAGAUUGAAAGAGGAUAGAGGAAUUCCUAGUGUAGAGGUGAAAUUCGUAAAUAUUAGGAGGAACACCAGUGGCGAAGGCGUCUAUCUGGUUCAAAUCUGACGCUGAGGCGCGAAGGCGUGGGGAGCAAACAGGGAUUAGAUACC